rnacentral:lncRNA from 10 species
CCUCAGCCUCCUGAGUAGCUGGGAUUACAGGCGUGAGCCACAGCACCCGGCCUCCUUCAAGAAUUUUAAUAGUAAAAUCUUAUAAGUGGAUGAGGAGAGUAAUUAAUAUAUAGAACAUUACCAAUUAUAAAUACAUAUUUAAGUAUAAUUUAGUGUUUUCUGGAAAGAAAUCAAAUGUGUUUCUGUGGGCAUUCACAUUUUCUUUUUUGUGAAUUUUCCAAGCUUUCUACAAUAGCCAUACAUUCUGCAAUAUUUAUAGUCUAUAACUUAUUAUCUCUAGUUGACAAACAUGGUUCUUUGUUUCUUAAAUUAUAAAUGUCUUUAACCUAAAAAAAUUAAAUAGUCAUUCAGCUUACAGGUCUGCUUAAAAAACAGAACAUUUUUUAGCUUGUUUUGAACCAAUUUUUUUAAUGUUCCUGUGCAAUUAGUACUUUUUACUUUAAACAUAUGCACUUAAAGCAUCCAUUCACAUUUUAGGCACUCAUUUCAGUAUUUUCUUUCUGCUUACAUUAGAACAAAAGCAAAUGUUGGGUUCUAUGGAAUCUUUUCCAUGUGCAUGUAUUUGUAUCCUUUCUUGUUCUUGUGAUCUUGUGAUGAAGACUUCUAUACUAAGCUUGGUUUAGAUUUUUUGUUCUGCUUUUUUUUUUUUUUUUUUCCCCCAUUGAGCAGUGUUCUGAAAGUUGGAUGGUUCAGUUUUCACUUUCUAGUUAGGUGUGAAGACGUUUUCUCCUUUCAUUUCCCCCAUGCUGAUUGAGUGUUUUCCUGUACCAUAGUAACUACAUUGAUUACUAAAUCAGAAUUCAUUUAGCUCACCACAUCUCUUGAAUGUGAUUGACCUACUUGAAAAAUAUUAAUACCUUUAACUUUUGGAAACUAUUAGUCUUCAUAAACUACCCCAAAGCCACUAAAAUGAAACAACAUUGUGUGCUUAUGUAAGUAUUAUCUAAUGGCAUUUUCUUUAUCUCUUGAGAAUUAUUUCAAUUCCAGAUACUUGUUAGAGAUUUUCUAAAACUUUUUGGGUCUUUCAGUGAAGUGAAGACUUACGAUCCUUCUGGUGACUCCACACUUCCAACCUGUUCUAAAAAACGCAAAAUAGAACAGGUAGAUAAAGAGGAUGAAAUUACUGAAAAGAAAGCCAAAAAAGCCAAGAUUAAAGUUAAAGUUGAAGAAGAGGAAGAAGAAAAAGUGGCAGAAGAAGAAGAAACAUCUGUGAAGAAGAAGAAGAAAAGGGGUAAAAAGAAACACAUUAAGGAAGAACCACUUUCUGAGGAAGAACCAUGUACCAGCACAGCAAUUGCUAGUCCAGAGAAAAAGAAGAAAAAGAAAAAAAAGAGAGAGAACGAGGAUUAACAGAAAGGAAUUACGAUUAUAUCACCCGGACACACAUCAUGCUUAAGAUUCAACUGGGAGCAUACCAGGGAUGCUCUCUAACGUAAUCAAGGGAAGGUUCAGUAAGACAAAGUGAUUUAUCAUCUAUAACUUCAAACCUAUUUGUCUUGACAUCAACUCUGUUAACCUUAU